rnacentral:tRNA from 1 species
GCUCGGGUGGUGGAAUGGUUUACACGCACGACUUAAAAUCGUGUGGCCUCACGGCCGUGUGGGUUCGAGUCCCACCCCGAGCA